rnacentral:rRNA from 1 species
CCUACGGGUGGCAGCAGUGGGGAAUAUUGCACAAUGGGCGCAAGCCUGAUGCAGCCAUGCCGCGUGUGUGAAGAAGGCCUUCGGGUUGUAAAGCACUUUCAGCGGGGAGGAAGGCGUUAAGGUUAAUACCCUUGUCGAUUGACGUUACCCGCAGAAGAAGCACCGGCUAACUCCGUGCCAGCAGCCGCGGUAAUACGGAGGGUGCAAGCGUUAAUCGGAAUUACUGGGCGUAAAGCGCACGUAGGCGGUCUGUCAAGUCGGAUGUGAAAUCCCCGGGCUCAACCUGGGAACUGCAUUCGAAACUGGCAGGCUAGAGUCUUGUAGAGGGGGGUAGAAUUCCAGGUGUAGCGGUGAAAUGCGUAGAGAUCUGGAGGAAUACCGGUGGCGAAGGCGGCCCCCUGGACAAAGACUGACGCUCAGGUGCGAAAGCGUGGGGAGCAAACAGGAUUAGAUACCCUAGUAGUC